rnacentral:lncRNA from 1 species
UUCUUCUCUUCCCCGCCUUGAUGUCAAAUAUUUUAAAAGCCCGACUAGGUCCCAAAUUGUAAAAAGAGACUGGCUUUUGGUUCUCUUCCAAUGUGUGAUUUAUCAAACGAACUCCACCCUUGGUAAAAAAUGAAGCGGCCAUACCUCUACCAUCUCCGGCAGCAUCUCCGGCUAGCGAAUCUACUCCAGGCGACUCCUGUUACAAGUUCAAUUCCACUGUCGCUGACUCCACUCAAAAGUUCGAUUCCAUCCUUGUAUAGGUCUAAUUUUUGAAUGUAACCUUCCAUUUUUGCAUUAUACAUGUUCGAUUUUGAAUAAUAAUAUUCUUUUAGGUUCACUCUACUGGUUCUUAUUUGAUUAGAUUAGGGUUUUGAAAUUUAUUAGCUACAUUUGUGAGUAUUUCACUUGGCUAUACAUGUUCGAUUAUGCCUUGUAUAGGUCCUAUUGAACUGUAGUCUUCUAAUCACAUCAUAUCUAUUAGAUUUAUUGAAUUUUGUUUAUGAUAUCAGGGAUUUCAAGUUCUAAAUUAUUACAAUAGCCAUUAUAAAUUUAUGACAUUCUUAAAAUAUGAUAUUUAUGAUAUUAUUUUUCUGAAAUUACAUUGGUUCUCAUUUCUGAUCUCUAAAAAUCUGAUGAAGUGAACAUCUGAUUUCUGAAAUUCCAAUGGUUACGAUGUCAGAUUUUUGAAGUUAUGAUUAAUUGAAAAUAUGCUAGAUAUAUAUAUAUAUAUAUAUAUAUAUAUAUANNNNNNNNNNNUAUAUAUAUAUAUAUAAGUUUACCUUUCUGAAGUUAAAAUGGUUCUUGUUACUAAUUUGAGAAAAUCUGUUGAAGUUAAAAUCUUGUAGCUCUAAUGUUAGCCUUCAAUGUUGCAAUGCUUCAUAUUUCAGAAAAUCUGAUUGAGGGAAAAACUGAAUAGAUGAUGUGUUUGAUAUUAGUGUUUUGAGAAUGUUUGAUCUGAUUCAAUUAAAUAUGAAUUAUGACAUUUCUAAUUGUUUUGUUCAUUUUUCAUGUCAGUUUGCAUCAUAUGGACUACUUUAGUGGAUAGAUAAUUUCGGGUUUCAUCUUCAGCCAUAAAACUCGAGUGGUUGGGCUCUAAUUUCAUAUAAAGUUCCUAUUUUUUUGAACCCAAAAUUGCACUACGUCUAUAUGCGCAUCCUCAAAUGUUCAUCUGCUGGUAAGUGGCUAUCCUCAAAGAAGAUAUGGUGAAAUUGAGUAAACAAACUUUAUUCCAAUAAUUAAUGAUUGGAGGUAGUCAAAGCAUAAACCAACAUAGAUUUGUGAUUUUAAUUAGCAAAUUAAUGGGAAAAGCAUAAUAAAUUUGUAUAUUAUGUUUACCAAUUGUAAUUGUGGCAGCUUCCAUAUGGUGGUCUAUUUUUUAUACCAGUAAUUGAGCAUAUUUUUUCAUUUGUGUAGUGUGAAAUAAACAAAAAUGGACUGGUAUACAUAUUUCUUUUUUAUGCAGCUUAUGUAGGAAUUGCAACUGUGGCAGGUUCCAUAUGGCGUCAUAUUUACUCAAGUAAAUAAUUUGUUAAUGGAUUUGUCAUAUGAGCAACAUAAGACAGUGUCACUAGAAAAUUUAAGUAAAUCUCUUUUCCUGUCUGUUUUUUUAGACAUGUUACAGUAGAAUUUUUUUAUUCUCUAUCUUUUAAGCUCUUGUUCCAUAAAAGUGGACUGAAUACUUUUCAUUAUCUAUAUUAAUUUUAUAAUUGAUUUUAAUAUGUUUUUUUUACUAUUUAGGUACAAAUUGUCCAAAUUAAAGAGUUGGGGCCUGCUAAACUAGUUUUAGAUGGAAUGAUCAUCACUCUUGAUAUGGAACGUGUUUAAGGAAAAAGGUUGUUAAAAUUGUUUUUAGGAACCAUAAAACAUUACUCUAUGGAGGGGAGACAUCGAUAAAACAAGAAAGAGCUCAAAGUUACUAACGAGAAGCUGCAAAACACAGAAGAAGAUAUGAAAAAAAUACAAACUUUAUGAUCGUUGUCAUUAUGAGAAAUAAAGUAUGUUGCCCAAAAGAGAUGCAACAUUCAUAUUCUCAUUAGGAAAUAAAGUUUGAUACUAAAAUGAGUAAACAAGUUUCAUUGCUACAAGGAGCAAACAAGUUUGUUACUAUAAGGAGCAAC